UUUGUGCGGAGGCAGGCGGAGGAGCUGACACCGGCCAAGAGCAGAACCAGUAGGAGUGAGUUGGAGAAGCGAGGUUUACAAAUUUUUCUAAGGAGGACUGUUGAUUGGAACAAAAAGGAGAUUGUGAGCCAGGUGAUUUCAACUGGAGUGAUGGCGAUCAAUUGAUCAGUAGGAGAACUGAAAGAUCAGAGGAAACUGAAAGACAAAGUUCAAGCGCAGGAUGUCCCCGCCAAACCUGGACGCUUGUCACCGGGAGUCAAGGCAGCUGAAGGCCGCGGGGCCGAGGGUGUGCCCAGCUCCCGGAGAGAAUGAGAGCAGAAUUAUUUGAAUCGUAAGCUCGGGGCCAGAAGAACCACGAGAGUAACUCUGAACAGAUGAAAACUGACCAUCUUGGACAAUGGAACGAAGAAGCAGCCAGAGAGGCGCCAGAAUUUAGCGCGUGCAACUGCGGUGCAGAUGCCGCAGGCAAGGCCUUCCCAGAGAGUCAUCUUGCAGAUAGCUGUCCUAGGUCCCCGUGGUGGCAACUUACUAAAGUCACUGUCGAAGGCUUGCCUCUUCUCCUGGGGGGGGGGGGGCAGGGGAGGGGACGCUCCGCGAGCAGAAUUCCAACUCCCAGAAGAGAGCCAAAAGUCAAGACAAGUAGCCCCACGAGGAAUACGCUUCAGAGAGCCUUUCUUCUUUCCUCUUUUCUUUUCCAAACGAAAUCUAAUACUAUCUGGCUGCAAAAAUAUAUAUCACCGGCUCUGAGUCUGAAAGAUUAACAUUGGGAUACGUAGGAAAUGUAAUCUGCAUGGCUAAUUGAUUCUCAGCGUAUCAGUUUAAAGGAUAAAGAUCGAUAUCUGCAUAUGAUGGAUACUGUAUUAAUAGGGACAUAAAUAAAGGCCGAAGAGUCGUUACUGGAACCUUU
rnacentral:lncRNA from 1 species